rnacentral:lncRNA from 10 species
ACACACCAUGAUAAGGACGCUGCUGCUGUCCACUUUGGUGGCUGGAGCCCUCAGUUGUGGGGACCCCACUUACCCACCUUAUGUGACUAGGGUGGUUGGCGGUGAAGAAGCGAGGCCCAACAGCUGGCCCUGGCAGGUGAGUUGACCACACUGUACUUCUCCCCGUCCCUGCCCCACUCCCUUUACAUCUCCCCUUUGCCCUUCCACCAUGGCGUCUAUUGUGCUGGCAAAGUGAGUAUUGAUGGGACUCAGAGAGCAGCACAGGCAACUUUAGCAAUAAGAUAUAUUUCCGGCUGGGCGCAGUGGCUCAUGCCUGUUAUCCCAGCACUGUGGGAGGCUGUGGUGGGCAGAUCACCUGAAGUCAGGAGUUUGAGACCAGCCUGGCCAACAUGGUGAAACCUGCCUCUACUAAUAAUACACAAGUAGCCAGGUGUGGUGGCACACGCCUGUAAUCCCAGCAACUGGGGAGGCUUAGGCAGGAGGAUCGCUUGAACCCAGGAGGCAGAGGUUGCAGUGAGCUGAAAUUGCACCACUGUACUCCAGCCUGGGCAACAAAGCAAGACUCUGUCUCAAAAAAAAAAAAAA